rnacentral:rRNA from 1 species
AGUUUGAUCCUGGCUCAGGAUGAACGCUAGCUACAGGCUUAACACAUGCAAGUCGAGGGGCAGCAUGGUCUUAGCUUGCUAAGGCUGAUGGCGACCGGCGCACGGGUGAGUAACACGUAUCCAACCUGCCGUCUACUCUUGGCCAGCCUUCUGAAAGGAAGAUUAAUCCAGGAUGGGAUCAUGAGUUCACAUGUCCGCAUGAUUAAAGGUAUUUUCCGGUAGACGAUGGGGAUGCGUUCCAUUAGAUAGUAGGCGGGGUAACGGCCCACCUAGUCAACGAUGGAUAGGGGUUCUGAGAGGAAGGUCCCCCACAUUGGAACUGAGACACGGUCCAAACUCCUACGGGAGGCAGCAGUGAGGAAUAUUGGUCAAUGGGCGAUGGCCUGAACCAGCCAAGUAGCGUGAAGGAUGACUGCCCUAUGGGUUGUAAACUUCUUUUAUAAAGGAAUAAAGUCGGGUAUGCAUACCCGUUUGCAUGUACUUUAUGAAUAAGGAUCGGCUAACUCCGUGCCAGCAGCCGCGGUAAUACGGAGGAUCCGAGCGUUAUCCGGGUUUAUUGGGUUUAAAGGGAGCGUAGAUGGAUGUUUAAGUCAGUUGUGAAAGUUUGCGGCUCAACCGUAAAAUUGCAGUUGAUACUGGAUGUCUUGAGUGCAGUUGAGGCAGGCGGAAUUCGUGGUGUAGCGGUGAAAUGCUUAGAUAUCACGAAGAACUCCGAUUGCGAAGGCAGCCUGCUAAGCUGCAACUGACAUUGAGGCUCGAAAGUGUGGGUAUCAAACAGGAUUAGAUACCCUGGUAGUCCACACGGUAAACGAUGAAUACUCGCUGUUUGCGAUAUACGGCAAGCGGCCAAGCGAAAGCGUUAAGUAUUCCACCUGGGGAGUACGCCGGCAACGGUGAAACUCAAAGGAAUUGACGGGGGCCCGCACAAGCGGAGGAACAUGUGGUUUAAUUCGAUGAUACGCGAGGAACCUUACCCGGGCUUAAAUUGCACUCGAAUGAUCCGGAAACGGUUCAGCUAGCAAUAGCGAGUGUGAAGGUGCUGCAUGGUUGUCGUCAGCUCGUGCCGUGAGGUGUCGGCUUAAGUGCCAUAACGAGCGCAACCCUUGUUGUCAGUUACUAACAGGUGAUGCUGAGGACUCUGACAAGACUGCCAUCGUAAGAUGUGAGGAAGGUGG